rnacentral:rRNA from 1 species
AGAGUUUGAUCCUGGCUCAGGACGAACGCUGGCGGCGUGCCUAACACAUGCAAGUCGAACGGAACUGUUUUGAAAGAUUUCUUCGGAAUGAAUUUGAUUUAGUUUAGUGGCGGACGGGUGAGUAACGCGUGAGUAACCUGCCUUCAAGAGGGGGAUAACAUUCUGAAAAGAAUGCUAAUACCGCAUGACAUAUCGGAACCACAUGGUUCUGAUAUCAAAGAUUUUAUCGCUUGAAGAUGGACUCGCGUCCGAUUAGUUAGUUGGUGAGGUAACGGCUCACCAAGGCGAUGACGGGUAGCCGGUCUGAGAGGAUGUCCGGCCACACUGGAACUGAGACACGGUCCAGACACCUACGGGUGGCAGCAGUCGAGAAUCAUUCACAAUGGGGGAAACCCUGAUGGUGCGACGCCGCGUGGGGGAAUGAAGGUCUUCGGAUUGUAAACCCCUGUCAUGUGGGAGCAAAUUAAAAAGAUAGUACCACAAGAGGAAGAGACGGCUAACUCUGUGCCAGCAGCCGCGGUAAUACAGAGGUCUCAAGCGUUGUUCGGAAUCACUGGGCGUAAAGCGUGCGUAGGCUGUUUCGUAAGUCGUGUGUGAAAGGCGCGGGCUCAACCCGCGGACGGCACAUGAUACUGCGAGACUAGAGUAAUGGAGGGGGAACCGGAAUUCUCGGUGUAGCAGUGAAAUGCGUAGAUAUCGAGAGGAACACUCGUGGCGAAGGCGGGUUCCUGGACAUUAACUGACGCUGAGGCACGAAGGCCAGGGGAGCGAAAGGGAUUAGAUACCCCUGUAGUCCUGGCAGUAAACGGUGCACGCUUGGUGUGCGGGGAAUCGACCCCCUGCGUGCCGGAGCUAACGCGUUAAGCGUGCCGCCUGGGGAGUACGGUCGCAAGAUUAAAACUCAAAGAAAUUGACGGGGACCCGCACAAGCGGUGGAGUAUGUGGCUUAAUUCGAUGCAACGCGAAGAACCUUACCUGGGCUUGACAUGUAAUGAACAACAUGUGAAAGCAUGCGACUCUUCGGAGGCGUUACACAGGUGCUGCAUGGCCGUCGUCAGCUCGUGUCGUGAGAUGUUGGGUUAAGUCCCGCAACGAGCGCAACCCC